AAGAACGAGGGAACCAACCCCGUUAGCUUCCACGCUGCCUAACUAAAAUAUGCAGAGAACCGCUCGGGGCACAGACGAUCGAUGCCACGCCUGCCCCACCCACCCCCAAAUUCACCUGGGAUUCGAGUUCACCCUACACAGAAGUUCCUCAGCUUAUAACGUUACUUCCGAAGAGCCGGGACACACCUCCGAUCAUCGCACCAGCAAAUCUUCUGGGGGACCCACUGCUCCUCAGCUGUGCCAGAAACCACCAGGAACGGCGCAGACUUCGCGGGCAAGGAGGAAACCGCCCUUCUCCCCACACCGCUCGCCGCCGCUUCCGCAGGGGGCAGGGAGCGGCGUCCAGGCCCGCGCAGGGCACCCGGCGGCCGCGAGCUCACAUGCCGCAGGCGGGAGGCACGGCACCGCACAGCGAGGCGCGACGACGUGGCCAAGGCAAGACAGCGCCUCGCCUGUGCGGCCCUGCUCGGGACCCGCGCGGCGGAGGGAAGGCGCCAACCCAAAGGGGUUCGCGGGCCGAGAGCGGCCGGGAGGCUGGGCCCGGCGACAGCGGCGAGGCCCCGCAAGCGGUCCCGGAGGCGUGAGGAGCGUGCGGGAUAGGCCCCUGUGUGCGCGUGGGACAGGAACUGUCCUCGCCCGGCGGGACAGCGGGGACCCAGCGCCCGCUCACUAAGCAGGAUGCUGUCCGUGCCCGAGAGCUUCUGCUGCGGGCGCUGACAUCCUGCCCGCGAUUUCUGAAUCGCUUCUAGAAGCACAGACAGCUCUUGAUCGAUUUGCUUUCCACAAAACUCAAUCAGGGGAUUCUGGAAUAACGAUAACUGUGCAGUAGUUGCAGGGGCAAAGACUGCCAUUUUCAGGACAAAACAGUGAUAUCCCACAGACCAUCUUGCCGUGCAGACAGGAGAGUGAAAGGCUGAAAGAUGAAGAGGAUCACCAGCUGAAGAGAACUGCAGUCACAGCCCUGUUAGACGCAGUGAGUGAAGACUUGCUGCUCCCAUGAACUUUGGGGGCAGUGGGAAGGCAAGCAUCUGCGUGCAUUGGUAACUUUGCCAGAGUCUCAUUAAUCAUUCAGCUAGGCUUGAAGUCUAUGAGGGCAAGAACUGUAUUAUGUGUAUCAUCAUAUCUUCACGCUAGCACAGUGCCUGGCACAGCAGGUACUGAAUGAAUAAAGGAUACCUCCCCUCACCUCA